rnacentral:rRNA from 1 species
GAUGAACGCUGGCGGCGUGCCUAAUACAUGCAAGUCGAGCGAACAGACGAGGAGCUUGCUCCUCUGACGUUAGCGGCGGACGGGUGAGUAACACGUGGAUAACCUACCUAUAAGACUGGGAUAACUUCGGGAAACCGGAGCUAAUACCGGAUAAUAUAUUGAACCGCAUGGUUCAAUAGUGAAAGACGGUUUUGCUGUCUCUUAUAGAUGGAUCCGCGCCGCAUUAGCUAGUUGGUAAGGUAACGGCUUACCAAGGCAACGAUGCGUAGCCGACCUGAGAGGGUGAUCGGCCACACUGGAACUGAGACACGGUCCAGACUCCUACGGGAGGCAGCAGUAGGGAAUCUUCCGCAAAGGGCGAAAGCUUGACGGAGCAACGCCGCGUGAGUGAUGAAGGUCUUCGGAUCGUAAAACUCUGUUAUUAGGGAAGAACAAAUGUGUAAGUAACUAUGCACGUCUUGACGGUACCUAAUCAGAAAGCCACGGCUAACUACGUG